rnacentral:rRNA from 1 species
AUUGAACGCUGGCGGCAUGCCUUACACAUGCAAGUCGAACGGUAACAGGUCUUCGGAUGCUGACGAGUGGCGAACGGGUGAGUAAUACAUCGGAACGCGCCUAGUAGUGGGGGAUAACUACUCGAAAGAGUGGCUAAUACCGCAUGAGAUCUACGGAUGAAAGCGGGGGAUCGCAAGACCUUGUGCUACUAGAGCGGCCGAUGGCAGAUUAGGUAGUUGGUGGGAUAAAAGCUUACCAAGCCGACGAUCUGUAGCUGGUCUGAGAGGACGAUCAGCCACACUGGGACUGAGACACGGCCCAGACUCCUACGGGAGGCAGCAGUGGGGAAUUUUGGACAAUGGGCGCAAGCCUGAUCCAGCAAUGCCGCGUGCAGGAUGAAGGCCUUCGGGUUGUAAACUGCUUUUGUACGGAACGAAAAGCCCUGGGUUAAUACCCUGGGGUCAUGACGGUACCGUAAGAAUAAGCACCGGCUAACUACGUGCCAGCCGCCGCGGUAAUAC